rnacentral:rRNA from 1 species
AGCAGCCGCGGUAAUUCCAGCUCCAAUAGCGUAUAUUAAAGUUGCUGCAGUUAAAAAGCUCGUAGUUGAAUUUCGGGACCAAUAUGUCGGUCGUGCCUCGGUACGUACUGGCAUCGUUGGUUUCUCCCUUCUGACGAACCAUGAUGUCAUUUAUUUGGUGUCGUGGGGAAUCAGGACUGUUACUUUGAAAAAAUUAGAGUGUUUAAAGCAGGCUAACGCUUGAAUACAUUAGCAUGGAAUAAUGAAAUAGGACGUUCGAUCCUAUUUUGUUGGUUUCUAGGAUUGACGUAAUGAUUAAUAGGGAUAGUUGGGGGCAUUAGUAUUCAAUUGUCAAAGGUGAAAUUCUUGGAUUUAUUGAAGACUAACUACUGCGAAAGCAUUUGCCAAGGAUGUUUUCAUUAAUCAAGAACGAAAGUUAGGGGAUCGAAGACGAUCAGAUACCGUCGUAGUCUUAACCAUAAACUAUGCCGACUAGGGAUCGGAUGAUGUUAAUUUUUUAAUGACUCAUUCGGCGCCUUAA